rnacentral:rRNA from 1 species
AUUGAACGCUGGCGGCAUGCCUUACACAUGCAAGUCGAACGGUAGCGGGCCUUCGGGUGCCGACGAGUGGCGAACGGGUGAGUAAUGUAUCGGAACGUACCUUUCAGUGGGGGAUAACGUAGCGAAAGUUGCGCUAAUACCGCAUAUUCUGUGAGCAGGAAAGCAGGGGAUCGCAAGACCUUGCGCUGAUUGAGCCGCCGAUAGCAGAUUAGGUAGUUGGUGAGGUAAAGGCUCACCAAGGCGACGAUCUGUAGCGGGUCUGAGAGGAUGAUCCGCCACACUGGAACUGAGACACGGUCCAGACUCCUACGGGAGGCAGCAGUGGGGAAUUUUGGACAAUGGGGGCAACCCUGAUCCAGCCAUGCCGCGUGAGUGAAGAAGGCCUUCGGGUUGUAAAGCUCUUUCGGCCGGGAAGAAAUCGUAUCAGCUAAUACCUGGUGCGGAUGACGGUACCGGCAUAAGAAGCACCGGCUAACUACGUGCCAGCAGCCGCAGUAA